rnacentral:rRNA from 1 species
AUUGAACGCUGGCGGCAUGCCUAACACAUGCAAGUCGCACGCGAAAGGGGGCAACCCCGAGUAGAGUGGCGGACGGGUGAGUAACGCGCAGGAAUCUACCUGGUAGUGGGGGACAACCCG